rnacentral:piRNA from 1 species
CUUUGAGAGGCUGUCCAAGC